ensembl:lncRNA
UUCUUCAGGCUUUUUAGAUGCAUUCUGUUUUUCAAAUGAAGUGAUCUUUUCUGCAGGUUGAUGUGGAUUCUUCAAGGAUUUAAUUCUUAAGUUAUUUUUAUUCUUACAUCUUUUUCCUUAAGAAACUGUGUAGUCACAACAAGUGAAGGCUGAAAUGAAAGAGAAAAUAGAAUAAUGUAAUAAUGAGAUAUAAAACUUAUUUAAAUUUGAUCUGAUGAAGAAAAUGUAGUAACUGCUUUGAAUAAAAUUGUAACCGCAUAUUUAGUACUGCAUUACAUGAGCCAGUAAAAUACUAUGUCACCCUUAUUUUUACCAUAAUUGUAAAGACUGAUUGUAUGGGAACUGCUGAGUCAUGGCCUGAACCACUGAUUGAGCACUUGGAGGAAAGACCCAGUCAGCCCUGGGAGCACAGGUGAAGGCAAUUCAGGCUCCACCCCUCUUAGGCCUCAUUUAAGGGCUGACUGCCCCUGGAGAUCCUUCCUUGGUGGGAGCCUUUCCCUUCAAGCCCAAAAUCUUCUGAUUCGGGUGAGCACUGUAUUUUUCUUCCACCUUUUUGUAAUGCUAUUUCCAUCACUUUAGUCCUUUUGAUCACUACACUGGUCCUUCCAUGAAAUAAGGGCCAAAUUCAUGGUUCAUCCUUACUUCUAGAUGUAAUAUGGGAGAUCGUUUCAAAACCAUUGGAUAGUGGUUCAGCAUGAUCUUGCUUAUUUAUGCAUAAAUAGCAGCAAUGUGCUACAAGUUCUUUCAAUAUCUCCCUAGAAGUCUCUGGAAAGGUUUAAGUGCCCCCUCUGAUAUAACAUUACUUGUGUGCAUCAUAAGCUUUCAGUCUUCACAAUUCUGUGAGUUCCUUCUUUGCUAUUUUUCAGAUGGCAGAGCUGAUGUACAAAGAAACUAUAACUUGCUCAAGGUUGGACAGAAACCUGUGGCAGAAGGUUUAAAUCCACUUCUGAAAGUCGCCAUCUAACUGCAUCGCAUUUCAUGCGAAGUCUCAAUGCCUAUGGAAUAUUUACAGUAUCACUAGACCUAUUAUGGAAAUAUUAGACUGGGAAGACCUUAGGAGAUCCCUGACCCAGAAUGGAAUUAGCAGAUCAUGUGGGAUCCUUGACGGACAGGUACUGAACAUUUUUGUGACUAUGGAGAUUGGAAACCUCAGUGGAAUCAACCUAUUUUAAAGGUUUUUUUUGAUGUCUAAGCUGAACCUUUACUCUUUUCUCAUCGCCAUGGGUAUAAAAAAACAUUGCAUUCUCUUUCAAACAACCUUUUGAGUAUUUGGUGGUUAUUAUCAUUUUCCCUUCAGUCUUCUCAGUCCCAAUCUCUUCAGCUUUUCCCUGCAGGUUAUGACUUCUAGACCUCUCAGAUUUCUAUUGCCGUGCCCUGGGUGCUCUCUCUCUGUGUAUUCAUACUGAAGUGCCGUGCUUGCUCUUCCAUCAGGCACUGCUAUCCCACUGAGGCAAGACUAGGACCAGGCAAAGCACAACAGUGUCAAUCAUGAUUUAUUCUGCUAUCUAGACUUCAAGAUGAGUGGUUUUCUUGCUACAGUAUCAUUGCACUGUUGACUCAUAUUAAGCUUCUGAUUCUGUGUAACCAGUUUUCUGCAAAACUGCUACCAGAUCAUUGUUCCUCCCUCAAGUUUUGUGAAAUUGAAUAAUUCAUGGCUAAAUGACCUUCCACUAGUCCCUAGGAAAUAGCAAUCCAUCUUUUCAAUCCGUUUCCCCAUCUUGUCAAGAUGAAUCUUCUAUGUGCUUAAAGUCCUCCAUAGGUCACAUUUGACACAUACUCAGCUUUCUUAUUCUUAGUUAAAACACUGUACAGGACUGGACCCAGAGCUCUGUCCAAUUAAGUACACCCAUCCAUCCAUUCAGUGCAUCCCACUGUUGCAGUCUUGCCUCGGUUUAUCUAUCUUUUCUUUAUAAGAACGUUCUCUGGAAACACUGGCUAAAACUUGCCAGCAUCUACUUAUCCCCAAUUAGUAAAGCCUCUAGGCAGGUAAAGAACUUUAAAGGAAAUGAGUCUGGUCUGACAAAACUUGAUCCUGAGAGCUCCAUUUCUGCAACUACUCAUCUCCUUGUUACCUCCAGAUAUGAAAGUAUGUGAAUGACAAAUAAUGCAGUGCUAUUAGUCACUUGACAUAUUUGUGUUUGCCAUUACUUAAGAAAAACAGUUACAGGUUGAACUGGUCAAGCAUUUUUAUAGUUUUAAGUUCAUAAGCAUUUAUGGAGUUUUUUUAUUGUAAAAAUGUUUCAUUUUAUAAUGAAAAUUUGUAGAAAAAUGCAUUUUUUACUUAAAUUAUUUGUGUCCUCCUUCUUAUGCUCUUUUUUUUCCUUCCUUUCUUUAUCAGAUGAGAAAAUAUAAAAGGGAAGAAAAAACAUAAAUAUUAUAAAAUAUGAAAACUAAAGUUUGCUAUGUAAUUUCUGUGAACUGUGAAGGAAGUGCAGUGUUCCUUUUUGCAGUGUAUGCAAGUAAUACUGAAAUCAGCUCUCCUCUGUCUAAGCCCUGUUCAUGUACUAACAACUUCUUCGACUCAUGAAUAAUCAGAAUAUCUGCAAAAGUUCUCUAUCUUCUGUAUAUUUAAGGAAACAGUUUUACCGUAGAAAUAGGCCUUCCUCGGAUUCAUAAACCGUGCAUAUUAAUUCAUAGUAAGGUGUCUAGAUCACAGGUGAAACAAAAGUAAGACAAACUAAUCCCCGCAAUUCCUUUUGUCUCCCCUUUCCAUUAUAAAAAUGGUAUUAUGUUUGCAUGAGCAAACACUGAAACAUUAGGCUGUGCCAGUGCAAUCUUACUUUGCACCUUGUGAAUAUGUUUUUAAUACUCUUUUAUCAUAUGAUUGUAUAUUUUUUUUAAUGGAAAUCCUUUCUCAUUCUGCACAUAAUGAAUAGUAUUCUUACGUUUUCACAACCUGCUAUUACUUGGAUUGUUCCCCUUGCAAUUCUUGAGUCAUCUUAGUCCUCUUUUAAAAAAAACUCAUCCAUGAUUCAAAUGCUUUCCUGUAAACAGUUGUUUUAUCCACAAAGCAAACAAGGAUUUUUAUGUUUCCUGCCCACUCCAUCUGCUUGCUAAGUAAAGCAGUUUGGAAGUAUCACUAAUGGAUAUGGCUGAGCACACACAGAAAAUAUCCACAUCUAGCCCCAGUAUGUCUUACUACAGUACAAGCACUAGUACAAGACAAGCUUUUCUGCAUUGUCUGUUUUUACCACAGAGAAUGAUGAUGCAAUAUGGGCAGCAGUGCAUGAUUUCUGCUAAGCACACUGCAGUCUCUUGUAUUUUCUUCCACUGCAGGCUGUUUCCAUGCUGACUCAUGUUUCCUAGAAGAGCACUUCGCCACAAUAACCCACAGCACUGAGAACUCGCAGCUUCUCUGCACAGCAGGUCUUACAAAAUAGAUGUAUACAGACUACAGUAUUUACAGUAAGAACCUAUUUCCCGGGACUUUGGGCAAACACUCCAAAAUGAAAUCAAAGCUCACAAGCUCCAUUUCCCUACAAAGGCUUAAAAUUAAAGCAUGAUGCACUAAGGGAGUGGGAUACAAAUAUCCCUGUGCCUUGUUACUAGCCUGGGAACAGCUGCAUUGUACAAUGGAGAGAAUAAAAAGCUCUAGCUGGACA